rnacentral:rRNA from 1 species
AUACCAAUAAGCGGAGGAAAAGAAACUAACAAGGAUUCCCCUAGUAACUGCGAGUGAAGCGGGAAAAGCUCAAAUUUAAAAUCUGGCGGUCUUUGGCCGUCCGAGUUGUAAUCUAGAGAAGUGUUACCCGCGUCGGACCGUGUACAAGUCUCCUGGAAUGGAGCGUCAUAGAGGGUGAGAAUCCCGUCUUUGACACGGACUACCGAGGCUUUGUGGUGCGCUCUCAAAGAGUCGAGUUGUUUGGGAAUGCAGCUCAAAAUGGGUGGUAAAUUCCAUCUAAAGCUAAAUAUUGGCGAGAGACCGAUAGCGAACAAGUACCGUGAGGGAAAGAUGAAAAGAACUUUGGAAAGAGAGUUAAACAGUACGUGAAAUUGCUGAAAGGGAAACGCUUGAAGUCAGUCGCGUUGGCCGGAAAUCAGCCUUGGUUCUCCUUGGUGUAUUUUCUGGUUGACGGGCCAGCAUCAGUUUUGACCGGUGGAAAAAGUUGUAGGGAAUGUGGCAUCUUCGGAUGUGUUAUAGCCUUGCUUCGUAUACAUCGGUUGGGACUGAGGAACUCAGCACGCCGCAAGGCCGGGGUUCGCCCACGUUCGUGCUUAGGAUGCUGGCAUAAUGGCUUUAAUCGA